GAUGAAGAACGUAGCGAAAUGCGAUAAGUAAUGUGAAUUGCAGAAUUCAGUGAAUCAUCGAAUCUUUGAACGCAUCUUGCGCUCCUUGGUAUUCCGAGGAGCAUGCCUGUUUGAGUGUCAUUUAACUUCUCAACCACAUUGGAUAUUUUUUUUCCGAUGCCGGCUUGGAUGUGGGGGUUGUUUGCAGGCUUUUUGUAACAAAAAAGGUCGGCUCCCCUGAAAUGUAUUAGUGGUAUCUGAGGCUAUUACUAUUAGGUGUGAUAAUUAUCUAUGCCUUUUGGGUAUGCAGCAUGAACAGAUUAUGCUGCUUCUAACGAAAACUAUUUUGAUGAAUUUGACCUCAAAUCAGGUAGGACUACCCGCUGAACUUAAGCAUAUCAAUAAGCGGAGGA
rnacentral:misc_RNA from 1 species